GUGGGGAAUAUUGGACAAUGGGCGAAAGCCUGAUCCAGCCAUGCCGCGUGUGUGAAGAAGGUCUUCGGAUUGUAAAGCACUUUAAGUUGGGAGGAAGGGCAUUAACCUAAUACGUUAGUGUUUUGACGUUACCGACAGAAUAAGCACCGGCUAACUUCGUGCCAGCAGCCGCGGUAAUACGAAGGGUGCAAGCGUUAAUCGGAAUUACUGGGCGUAAAGCGCGCGUAGGUGGUUCGUUAAGUUGGAUGUGAAAGCCCCGGGCUCAACCUGGGAACUGCAUCCAAAACUGGCGAGCUAGAGUACGGUAGAGGGUGGUGGAAUUUCCUGUGUAGCGGUGAAAUGCGUAGAUAUAGGAAGGAACACCAGUGGCGAAGGCGACCACCAGGACUGAUACUGACACUGAGGUGCGAAAGCGUGGGGAGCAAACAGGAUUAGAAACCCGUGUAGUCC
rnacentral:rRNA from 1 species